UACGUAGGGUGCAAGCGUUGUCCGGAAUUAUUGGGCGUAAAGAGCUCGUAGGCGGUUUGUCGCGUCUGCUGUGAAAACCCGAGGCUCAACCUCGGGCCUGCAGUGGGUACGGGCAGACUAGAGUGCGGUAGGGGAGAUUGGAAUUCCUGGUGUAGCGGUGGAAUGCGUAGAUAUCAGGAGGAACACCGGUGGCGAAGGCGGGUCUCUGGGCAGUAACUGACGCUGAGGAGCGAAAGCGUGGGGAGCGAACAGG
rnacentral:rRNA from 1 species